AUUGAACGCUGGCGGAAUGCUUUACACAUGCAAGUCGAACGGUAGAGGGAGCAACCCCUCGAGAGUGGCGAACGGGUGAGUAAUAUAUCGGAACGUGCCCAGUCGUGGGGGAUAACGUAUCGAUAGUUACGCUAAUACCGCAUACGAUCUAAGGAUGAAAGAGGGGGAUCGCAGGACCUCGCGCGAUUGGAGCGCCCGAUAUCAGAUUAGGUAGUUGCUGGGGUAAAGGCUCACCAAGCCAACGAUCUGUAGCUGGUCUGAGAGGACAACCAGCCACACUGGAACUGAGACACGGUCCAGACUCCUACGGGAGGCAGCAGUGGGGAAUUUUGGACAAUGGACGCAAGUCUGAUCCAGCCAUUCCGCGUGCAGGAUGAAGGCCCUCGGGUUGUAAACUGCUUUUGUACGGAACGAAAAGGUCUCUCUUAAUACGGGGGGCUCAUGACGGUACCGUAAGAAUAAGCACCGGCUAACUACGUGCCAGCAGCCGCCGUAA
rnacentral:rRNA from 1 species